rnacentral:misc_RNA from 1 species
UGGGAGCAUUCAGACCAGGGAUUUUCAGGUGGGGAUAAGAUGGUGGAGGGCCAUACCUCUGCAUAUUGAUAAGCCAAGGUGGCGGUGCACCCUCUGGCAUGCCAAGAGCUUCUUUUAAUUCUUGUGAAAGACUGCCAGGCUUCAUCUCUCUAAGCUUCACCUCAAAUUCUUUCCCUUCAUGAUAGAGGUCACCAUGAGUAGUAAGCUUUGGCUUUGUUUGGUACUUAAAAAACGCAUCAUGAAGGACCUGAUAAUCAAUAUCCAUUUUUCCCAUCUUUGGCUGCAUCCGCUCACG